rnacentral:rRNA from 1 species
CCCUUAGAUGUUCUGGGCCGCACGCGCGCUACACUGAACAGUUCAACAAGUCUUAACCUUGGCCGAUAGGUCUGGGUAAUCUUUGAACGCUGUUCGUGAUUGGGAUAGACCUUUGCAAUUAUGGGUCUUCAACGAGGAAUUCCUAGUAAACGCAAGUCAUCAGCUUGCAUUGAUUACGUCCCUGCCCUUUGUACACACCGCCCGUCGCACCUACCGAUUGAAUGGUCCGGUGAAAUCUCGGGACGGCGGCUUGGUCGCUUGCGUCCGACUGCUGAAACUUGAUUAAACCAUAUCAUUUAGAGGAAGAUGAAGUCGUAACA